rnacentral:sRNA from 1 species
GGAAGGAUCAUUACAGAAUUGUCAACGGGUUGUUGCUGGUCCUCGAACGGGGACAUGUGCACGCUCUGUUUACACAUCCACUCACACCUGUGCACCCUCCGUAGUUCUGUGGUCUGGGGGACCCCUGUCCUCCUGCCGUGGUUCUAUGUCUUUACACACACACUGUAAUAAAGUAUUAUGGAAUGCAUGCCGCGUCUAACGCAAUACAAUACAACUUUCAGCAACGGAUCUCUUGGCUCUCGCAUCGAUGAAGAACGCAGCGAAAUGCGAUAAGUAAUGUGAAUUGCAGAAUUCAGUGAAUCAUCGAAUCUUUGAACGCACCUUGCGCCCCUUGGCUAUUCCGAGGGGCAUGCCUGUUUGAGUAUCAUGAACACCUCAACUCUCACGGUUCGCCGUGAUGAGCUUGGACUCUGGGGGUUUUGCUGGCCUGCGGUCGGCUCCCCUCAAAUGAAUCAGCCUCCCAGUGUUUGGUGGCAUCACGGGUGUGAUAAAUAUCUACGCUCGCAGUUGUCCGCCAGGUAACCUUUGGUGAUAAAGGUUCGCUGGAGCUCACAGAUGUCUCUCCUCAGCGAGGACAGCUUUUUGAACGUUCGAUCUCAAAUCAGGUAGGACUACCCGCUGAACUUAAGCAUAUCAAUAAGCGGAGGAAAAGAAACUAACAAGGAUUCCCCUAGUAACUGCGAGUGAAGCGGGAA